rnacentral:ncRNA from 1 species
UACCACAAGGGGAGCUUUGUUGCUGAGAGUGAGCAGGAUAUCUGUUCAGACCCUAUGAACCUGUUAGAUAAUGCUAGCGCAGGGAUGUGGAUGUGAA